rnacentral:rRNA from 1 species
AUUGAACGCUGGCGGCAUGCCUUACACAUGCAAGUCGAGCGCCCCGCAAGGGGAGCGGCAGACGGGUGAGUAACGCGUGGGAACGUACCCUUUGCUACGGAAUAGCUCCGGGAAACUGGAAUUAAUACCGUAUGUGCCCUACGGGGGAAAGAUUUAUCGGCAAAGGAUCGGCCCGCGUUGGAUUAGCUAGUUGGUGGGGUAAUGGCCUACCAAGGCGACGAUCCAUAGCUGGUCUGAGAGGAUGAUCAGCCACAUUGGGACUGAGACACGGCCCAAACUCCUACGGGAGGCAGCAGUGGGGAAUAUUGGACAAUGGGCGCAAGCCUGAUCCAGCCAUGCCGCGUGAGUGAUGAAGGCCUUAGGGUUGUAAAGCUCUUUCACCGGAGAAGAUAAUGACGGUAUCCGGAGAAGAAGCCCCGGCUAACUUCGUGCCAGCCGCCGCCGUAACAC